CUGGGAGGUGGAUGUUUACGUC
rnacentral:miRNA from 1 species